rnacentral:rRNA from 1 species
AAGCAUAUCAAUAAGCGGAGGAAAAGAAACCAACAGGGAUUGCCUCAGUAACGGCGAGUGAAGCGGCAAAAGCUCAAAUUUGAAAUCUAGCACUUUCAGUGUUCGAGUUGUAAUUUGAAGAAGGUAACUUUGGUUUUGGCUCUUGUCUAUGUUCCUUGGAACAGGACGUCACAGAGGGUGAGAAUCCCGUGCGAUGAGAUGCCCAAUUCCAUGUAAAGUGCUUUCGAAGAGUCGAGUUGUUUGGGAAUGCAGCUCUAAGUGGGUGGUAAAUUCCAUCUAAAGCUAAAUAUUGGCGAGAGACCGAUAGCGAACAAGUACAGUGAUGGAAAGAUGAAAAGAACUUUGAAAAGAGAGUGAAAAAGUACGUGAAAUUGUUGAAAGGGAAGGGCUUGAGAUCAGACUUGGUAUUUUGCGUUCCCUUCCUUUUUGGUUGGGUUCCUCGCAGUUUACUGGGCCAGCAUCGGUUUGGAUGGUAGGAUAAUGACAUUGGAAUGUAGCUUUACUUCGGUGAAGUGUUAUAGACUUUGUUGAUACUGCCUAUCUAGACCGAGGACUGCGUCUUUGACUAGGAUGCUGGCGUAAUGAUCUUAAGCCGCCC